CGGGCGGGCGCGGGCAGGGCCGCCCCGGGGGGUGUCGGCGCGGAGCCCCGGUAGUCGAAAGUCGCGUUUUAAGGACUGGCCUGAUAGAUUACUUUCUACUUAAAGAUCCGGCGGGAGGCGGGGCCACGUGACCGCGCGUGACGUCAGGGCCGCCGCGAGCCGGCCAAACUCAAGUUGGUCCGGGAAUUGUCAACAAAGGGGCGAGGGACGCGCCACUCCGCGUCGCCUGCGGGCCCCACGCGCCCUGGCCCGGCACGAGUGGACUGGGCACGGCCAGGAGGGCCCGAGCGCGUCCGCAGGACCCUGCGCCGUCUGCGCCCCGCACCCGUUCCCUCCCGGACGUGGACGGGCCGAGGACAGCCAGGUGCCAUCUCGGGCUCGGGGGGACAAACUUACCAGCCUCUUUUGUUUAUCGUUCCAGCUGCAGAGGACACGGGCGGCGCGAGGGGUCCCCUCGCUACGCCGAGUCCGGCUCUCCCGGGUAACCUGCGACGUGCGCCCUCCCGCCAGCCCCGCGUCCCCACCGGGCCCCGCUGCGUCCCCGCACGGUUUUCUAGAUAUCUGUGUUUUUUGCGCGCGGUCAUCGCAGCAUCACCUGGGAUUCCCGAAGAGCGCAGGGGACCCCAGGACCCAGCUCGGAGACCAGGACGCGCGUCCGGACCCCCUUGGCCAGCAUCAACGACGGUAGGAAGGACCCGGGGCUCCCAGGGGCUGCGGCUAGGGGGGCUUGGGGACCUCGCACCGCCCGGAGUAAGCCACGGCCCGGGCCGCGACCCCGCCGCGCGCCCCCUCCCGCUCGAGGCCGCCUGGUUGCGAGCGCGGCGCGCGUGGCGCGGCGUCUGUGUCACCCACGAGCUCGGGCUUGGGAGGAGGACUGAGUGGAAUGCUCACGGGAGGCCCUGCGAAACCGACCUCAUUCCCGGGGUCGGCGCUGCUUCUGAUUCCCAGCCUCUUCCCACCGAGCACCCUUUCCCGGGCACACCAAAUCAGCAAGAAUUCCAGGUCUGGCCGCCUGCUCCAUGACGCAGAUUGACUUUCUCCAGUUUCCCGGGUGCAACACCAGCCCUCGGGGUUCCUUCCCGCCAGUGGGGGCUGGGGACAGGGUGGGCGCAGGGACUCCGCCCUGAGACUGUCCCUGAACCUCCACUGUUUUUCUGUUUGCAAGUGGUCUCGGGGUCACCCUGACCCCCAAACGCAUCUCUGAGUUAUUUCCGCAGCUGCCUCCCGUGGGCCCGCCGGCUGCAAACCCAUCUAGACUUCCUCGGGCGAAACCCACUGGAGCUUCGAGCCGGCCGCCCAUCGCUCCCGCUGCAGAGGUUUUGGUUGCCACUGGCCAAACACCAAGUCCAAGCAAGGUCGGAGGAAAAAGAAAAACAGCUGAAAUUCGCAAAUUUCAAAACUCUUUUUGUCUAGUUUGGGGUGCCCACCCCGGGGUAGGUGCGGGCCCGCUUGGCCCUGGGCUGCGUCUCCGUGGAUGCUUUCACGUGUGCGCGCGAGGGUGGCGGCUCGGGCAGCCACGCCGCUCACUUUGAAGCCGUCCCCAGACGCACCUCGCCUGGGUCCCCGGAGAGGGGGUGGCGAACACCGCCCAGCUGCCGGUUCCAUUUGUUGCGCUUUUCUCCUUUGACACAAUAAAAGUCAAAUUAAUUGAUUCAUACCAUUAAUUACGGUUCGUAGCGUGAAAAGCAACGCUUCCCCUCGGUGAGAGAUCUAUUGUGCUCGUCUCAUGUUCAAUCAGUGCUGCCAUCUGAUGCCGGGUCGGCCCUGGCAGGAACUUUUCGCCUCGAUUAGCUGAAUGAUGAGUCGCGCAGGGCCCGCUGGCUGCGGCCCCGACGCCCCGCGUCGAUUUCCC
rnacentral:lncRNA from 1 species